rnacentral:rRNA from 1 species
GAAAAAUGAAUACCAAGUCUCAAGAGUGAACACGUAAUUCAUUACGAAGUUUAAUUCAUUGAGCAUCAAACUUUUAAAUUGAAGAGUUUGAUCAUGGCUCAGAUUGAACGCUGGCGGCAGGCCUAACACAUGCAAGUCGAACGGUAACAGGAAGCAGCUUGCUGCUUUGCUGACGAGUGGCGGACGGGUGAGUAAUGUCUGGGAAACUGCCUGAUGGAGGGGGAUAACUACUGGAAACGGUGGCUAAUACCGCAUAACGUCGCAAGACCAAAGAGGGGGACCUUCGGGCCUCUUGCCAUCAGAUGUGCCCAGAUGGGAUUAGCUUGUUGGUGAGGUAACGGCUCACCAAGGCGACGAUCCCUAGCUGGUCUGAGAGGAUGACCAGCCACACUGGAACUGAGACACGGUCCAGACUCCUACGGGAGGCAGCAGUGGGGAAUAUUGCACAAUGGGCGCAAGCCUGAUGCAGCCAUGCCGCGUGUAUGAAGAAGGCCUUCGGGUUGUAAAGUACUUUCAGCGGGGAGGAAGGUGUUGUGGUUAAUAACCGCAGCAAUUGACGUUACCCGCAGAAGAAGCACCGGCUAACUCCGUGCCAGCAGCCGCGGUAAUACGGAGGGUGCAAGCGUUAAUCGGAAUUACUGGGCGUAAAGCGCACGCAGGCGGUCUGUCAAGUCGGAUGUGAAAUCCCCGGGCUCAACCUGGGAACUGCAUUCGAAACUGGCAGGCUUGAGUCUUGUAGAGGGGGGNNNNNNNNNNNNNNNNNNNNGAAAUGCGUAGAGAUCUGGAGGAAUACCGGUGGCGAAGGCGGCCCCCUGGACAAAGACUGACGCUCAGGUGCGAAAGCGUGGGGAGCAAACAGGAUUAGAUACCCUGGUAGUCCACGCCGUAAACGAUGUCUACUUGGAGGUUGUGCCCUUGAGGCGUGGCUUCCGGAGCUAACGCGUUAAGUAGACCGCCUGGGGAGUACGGCCGCAAGGUUAAAACUCAAAUGAAUUGACGGGGGCCCGCACAAGCGGUGGAGCAUGUGGUUUAAUUCGAUGCAACGCGAAGAACCUUACCUGGUCUUGACAUCCACGGAAGUUUUCAGAGAUGAGAAUGUGCCUUCGGGAACCGUGAGACAGGUGCUGCAUGGCUGUCGUCAGCUCGUGUUGUGAAAUGUUGGGUUAAGUCCCGCAACGAGCGCAACCCUUAUCCUUUGUUGCCAGCGGUCCGGCCGGGAACUCAAAGGAGACUGCCAGUGAUAAACUGGAGGAAGGUGGGGAUGACGUCAAGUCAUCAUGGCCCUUACGACCAGGGCUACACACGUGCUACAAUGGCGCAUACAAAGAGAAGCGACCUCGCGAGAGCAAGCGGACCUCAUAAAGUGCGUCGUAGUCCGGAUUGGAGUCUGCAACUCGACUCCAUGAAGUCGGAAUCGCUAGUAAUCGUGGAUCAGAAUGCCACGGUGAAUACGUUCCCGGGCCUUGUACACACCGCCCGUCACACCAUGGGAGUGGGUUGCAAAAGAAGUAGGUAGCUUAACCUUCGGGAGGGCGCUUACCACUUUGUGAUUCAUGACUGGGGUGAAGUCGUAACAAGGUAACCGUAGGGGAACCUGCGGUUGGAUCACCUCCUUACCUUAAAGAAGCGUACUUUGCAGUGCUCACACAGAUUGUCUGAUGAAAA